UACAUGUGGGGCAAGCGUUGUUCGGAAUUACUGGGCGUAAAGGGUGCGUAGGCGGUUUGUUAAGUCACUGGUGAAAGUUUUCGGCCCAACCGGAAAAUUGCCUGUGAUACUGGCGAACUUGAGUGCGUGAGGGGUGGGGGGAACGAGCAGUGUAGCGGUGAAAUGCGUAGAUAUUGCUCGGAAGGCCGGAGCCGAAGGGGCCCCACUGGUACGUAACUGACGCUGAGGCACGAAAGCGUGGGGAGCAAACAGG
rnacentral:rRNA from 1 species